rnacentral:rRNA from 1 species
CCCGGCGGCCUUAGCGCGGUGGUCCCACCUGACCCCAUGCCGAACUCAGAAGUGAAACGCCGUAGCGCCGAUGGUAGUGUGGGGUCUCCCCAUGCGAGAGUAGGGAACUGCCAGGC